GACGAACGCUGGCGGCGUGCCUAAUACAUGCAAGUUGAGCGCUGAAGGUUGGUACUUGUACCGACUGGAUGAGCAGCGAACGGGUGAGUAACGCGUGGGGAAUCUGCCUUUGAGCGGGGGACAACAUUUGGAAACGAAUGCUAAUACCGCAUAAAAACUUUAAACACAAGUUUUAAGUUUGAAAGAUGCAAUUGCAUCACUCAAAGAUGAUCCCGCGUUGUAUUAGCUAGUUGGUGAGGUAAAGGCUCACCAAGGCGAUGAUACAUAGCCGACCUGAGAGGGUGAUCGGCCACAUUGGGACUGAGACACGGCCCAAACUCCUACGGGAGGCAGCAGUAGGGAAUCUUCGGCAAUGGACGAAAGUCUGACCGAGCAACGCCGUGUGAGUGAAGAAGGUUUUCGGAUCGUAAAACUCGGUUGGUAGAGAAGAACGUUGGUGAGAGUGGAAAGCUCAUCAAGUGACGGUAACUACCCAGAAAGGGACGGCUAACUACGUG
rnacentral:rRNA from 1 species